CACCUGGUUGAUCCUGCCAGUAGUCAUAUGCUUGUCUCAAAGAUUAAGCCAUGCAUGUCUAAGUAUAAGCUUUAAACGGCGAAACUGCGAAUGGCUCAUUAAAACAGUUAUAGUUUAUUUGGUGAUCGAUUACUAUUUGGAUAACCGUAGUAAUUCUAGAGCUAAUACAUGCGUCAAGGCCCGACUUCGGAAGGGCUGCGUUUAUUAGAUACAGAACCAACCUAGGCUCCGCCUAGUCCUUGUUGGUGAUUCAUAAUAACCCGGCGAAUCGCACGGCUUGUCCGGCGAUGGACCCAUUCAAGUUUCUGACCUAUCAGCUAUGGACGGUAGGGUAUUGGCCUACCGUGGCGUUGACGGGUAACGGGGGAAUUAGGGUUCGAUUCCGGAGGAGGGAGCCUGAGAAACGGCUACC
rnacentral:ncRNA from 1 species